rnacentral:rRNA from 1 species
GACGAACGCUGGCGGCGUGCCUAAUACAUGCAAGUCGAGCGGAGUUGAUGAGGUGCUUGCACCUCUGAUGCUUAGCGGCGGACGGGUGAGUAACACGUAGGUAACCUGCCCGACAGACCGGGAUAACAUUCGGAAACGAAUGCUAAUACCGGAUACGCGAUUUCCUCGCAUGGGGGAAUCGGGAAAGACGGAGCAAUCUGUCACUGUUGGAUGGACCUGCGGCGCAUUAGCUAGUUGGUGAGGUAACGGCUCACCAAGGCGACGAUGCGUAGCCGACCUGAGAGGGUGAUCGGCCACACUGGGACUGAGACACGGCCCAGACUCCUACGGGAGGCAGCAGUAGGGAAUCUUCCGCAAUGGGCGAAAGCCUGACGGAGCAACGCCGCGUGAGUGAUGAAGGUUUUCGGAUCGUAAAGCUCUGUUGCCAGGGAAGAACGCUUAGGAGAGUAACUGCUCCUGAGGUGACGGUACCUGAGAAGAAAGCCCCGGCUAACUACGUGCCAGCCGCCGCCGUAAUAC